CGGAGGAUCCAAGCGUUAUCCGGAUUCAUUGGGUUUAAAGGGUGCGUAGGCGGAAUGAUAAGUCAGUGGUGAAAUCCCUUCGCUUAACGAAGGAACUGCCAUUGAUACUGUCAAUCUUGAGUACAUUUGAUGUGGGCGGAAUGUGUCAUGUAGCGGUGAAAUGCUUAGAUAUGACACAGAACACCGAUUGCGAAGGCAGCUCACAAAACUGUAACUGACGCUGAGGCACGAAAGCGUGGGUAUCAAACAGGAUUAGAUACCCUGGUAGUCCACGCUGUAAACCAUGAUUACUCGAAUGUUUGCGAUACACUGUAAGCGUCUAAGCGAAAGCGAUAAGUAAUCCACCUGGGGAUACGCUCGCAAGAGUG
rnacentral:rRNA from 1 species